rnacentral:rRNA from 1 species
CCUANGGGAGGCAGCAGUGAGGAAUAUUGGACAAUGGGCGCAAGCCUGAUCCAGCGACGCCGCGUGAGUGAUGAAGGCCUUUGGGUCGUAAAGCUCUGUCAGCAGGGAAGAACGGCCGUGUGGUUAAUACCCAUGCGGAUUGACGGUACCUGCAGAGGAAGCACCGGCUAACUCCGUGCCAGCAGCCGCGGUAAUACGGAGGGUGCGAGCGUUAAUCGGAAUUACUGGGCGUAAAGGGCGCGUAGGCGGCCGAUCAAGUCAGAUGUGAAAGCCCACGGCUUAACCGUGUGAAGUGCAUCUGAAACUGGUCGGCUUGAGUAUCGGAGAGGAAAGUGGAAUUCCCGGUGUAGAGGUGAAAUUCGUAGAUAUCGGGAGGAAUACCGGUGGCGAAGGCGACUUUCUGGACGAAUACUGACGCUGAGGCGCGAAAGCGUGGGGAGCAAACAGGAUUAGAUACCCCGNUANUC